rnacentral:rRNA from 1 species
UACGUAGGGUGCAAGCGUUAAUCGGAAUUACUGGGCGUAAAGCGUGUGUAGGCGGCUACGUAAGUCGGAUGUGAAAGCCCCAGGCUCAACCUGGGAAGUGCACUCGAUACUGCGUAGCUUGAGUAUCGGAGAGGUUGGUGGAAUUCUCGGUGUAGAGGUGAAAUUCGUAGAUAUCGAGAGGAACACCGGUGGCGAAGGCGGCCAACUGGACGAAUACUGACGCUGAGACACGAAAGCGUGGGAGCAAACAGG